rnacentral:rRNA from 1 species
GAUGAACGCUGGCGGCGUGCCUAAUACAUGCAAGUCGAGCGAACAGACGAGGAGCUUGCUCCUCUGACGUUAGCGGCGGACGGGUGAGUAACACGUGGAUAACCUACCUAUAAGACUGGGAUAACUUCGGGAAACCGGAGCUAAUACCGGAUAACAUGUUGAACCGCAUGGUUCAACAGUGAAAGACGGUUUUGCUGUCACUUAUAGAUGGAUCCGCGUCGCAUUAGCUAGUUGGUAAGGUAACGGCUUACCAAGGCAACGAUGCGUAGCCGACCUGAGAGGGGGAUCGGCCACACGGGAACUGAGACACGGUCCAGACUCCUACGGGAGGCAGCAGUAGGGAAUCUUCCGCAAUGGGCGAAAGCCUGACGGAGCAACGCCGCGUGAGUGAAGAAGGUCUUCGGAUCGUAAAACUCUGUUAUUAGGGAAGAACAAAUGUGUAAGUAACUAUGCACGUCUUGACGGUACCUAAUCAGAAAGCCACGGCUAACUACGUG